CCGCAAUUCCCGUCACGGAGUGCGUCCUCUAGCGCGGGGCGGAAGACCCGCGAAGUGUUCAAGCGGCCGCAGAGCGGCCCAGAGUUCGCAGGUCUGGGGCUCUCUUCCCAGAGAGCUCGUAGGGGAGGACAGUCAAGGGACUCAAGCGUCUCUCUUGACUCCCCUUCUCUCGCUGUGCAGUGGCGGCGCCGAGGGGUCGACGCUCAGGGCUAAUCUCUAUGAGUCACCCUCGAGGCCCCGGGUAAUAUUGGGUGGAUCACAAGAACUAAUCUUUCAUGAUUUGGAAACCGGAAGGAAAGAAGCACUUUUGUAGCUGACUUACCUCAAUGACAUGACCAGUGUCUGAGCCUACAACUGCGCUAUCUUCCCUGGAUUUUUCUUCACCUUUUCCUUACUCAUGAGCCAGAUGGAGCUAAGAUUGGAACUGAGGUCUGGCUAUAAAGCUGCCUUUAUGUCCAUCGCAUCCUAAGGGCUGCUGUUGCUCUUCUGCCUCUACACUGAUGGACUACGUCAGAACAUCAAUAUGCUGUAUUGAUGAUAAUGGAUGAUAUUUUCUUAGUUGUGCCAAUAUUACUCUUGAGGGAAGAAAUGAUGCCAAGCCAGGCCAACUCCUACUCCUCAUCUGAUUCAGCCCAGUGAUGAGCUCUGUCAAGAAGACCUCCAAGAUCAGCCCCCUCUAUGCUCUCAUAGUCCCCUCUGCUGAUUCCUAUUAAGUCCUGUUCUUGCCAGUGAGACGCCUGCUCCAGCUUUGCCUUCCACCAUGAGUAAAGGCUCCCUAAGGCCUCCCAAGAAACAGAUGCCACCAUGCUUCCUGUACAGCCUGCAGAACCAUGAGCCAAUUAAAC
rnacentral:lncRNA from 10 species